ACUUUCAACAACGGAUCUCUUGGCUCUCGCAUCGAUGAAGAACGCAGCGAAAUGCGAUACGUAAUGUGAAUUGCAGAAUUCAGUGAAUCAUCGAAUCUUUGAACGCACCUUGCGCCCCUUGGCAUUCCGAGGGGCACACCCGUUUGAGUGUCGUGAA
rnacentral:rRNA from 3 species